UACGUAGGUGGCAAGCGUUGUCCGGAUUUAUUGGGUUUAAAGGGUGCGUAGGCGGCUUUGUAAGUCAGUGGUGAAAUAUGGCAGCUCAACUGUCAAGGUGCCAUUGAUACUGCAGAGCUUGAGUACAGAUGAGGUAGGCGGAAUUGACGGUGUAGCGGUGAAAUGCUUAGAUAUCGUCAAGAACACCUAUAGCGAAGGCAGCUUACUAGGCUGUAACUGACGCUGAGGCACGAAAGUGUGGGAUCAAACAGG
rnacentral:rRNA from 1 species